AUUGAACGCUGGCGGCAUGCCUUACACAUGCAAGUCGAACGGUAACAGGUCUUCGGAUGCUGACGAGUGGCGAACGGGUGAGUAAUACAUCGGAACGUGCCUAGUAGUGGGGGAUAACUACUCGAAAGAGUGGCUAAUACCGCAUGAGAUCUACGGAUGAAAGCAGGGGAUCGCAAGACCUUGUGCCACUAGAGCGGCCGAUGGCAGGUUAGGUAGUUGGUGGGAUAAAAGCUUACCAAGCCGACGAUCUGUAGCUGGUCUGAGAGGACGAUCAGCCACACUGGGACUGAGACACGGCCCAGACUCCUACGGGAGGCAGCAGUGGGGAAUUUUGGACAAUGGGCGCAAGCCUGAUCCAGCAAUGCCGCGUGCAGGAUGAAGGCCUUCGGGUUGUAAACUGCUUUUGUACGGAACGAAAAGCCCUGGGUUAAUACCCUGGGGUCAUGACGGUACCGUAAGAAUAAGCACCGGCUAACUACGUGCCAGCCGCCGCCGUAA
rnacentral:rRNA from 1 species